AAUGUCAUACAACUGACGUUUUACAAACGUUAGUUCUAUGGAAGUGAAGUGUCGCGUCGUGCUGUG